rnacentral:lncRNA from 1 species
UCUGCAGUGGAACAGAUUCAGUCCCUGGCCCAGGAACUUCCAUAUGCUGUGGAUGUGGCCAAAAAAGGGAAAAAAGUUUAAUCUUAUUAAAUACAUUUAAAAUGUAUGAAUCUUGAAGGAUAUAACCAUUUUUUUCCUUUACCAGCUUAGCCAAGUGCCUGAAAUACUGUAGGCAGUCAAUAGACAGCCAUCACUUAUUCAGAGCCAAGCAUCAUCCUAGUCACACAGAUUAUAUUAAAGAUCUCAGUCCUCAUAGAGCUCACAUUUAAGUGAAAGAAUAGGAAGAAGGAAAAAUAAUAAGUCCUGAUAGCAAUAGAUAAGAGAAAAUAUACUUUAGUAGAAAGUGAUCAACAUGUUGGAAAUAACUAGCAGAGCACAAAAAUGAAUCAUGAAUGGGAAAGAGAUGAAUUGUAACUUUAAGUAGGCAUUAAAUUAAAAUAUUUUUAAUGGAGGCCACUAAGCUUUGAUCUCAUACACUAUAAUAUUAUUUUUAAAACAGAAAUGUUGUAACAGUAACAUGCACACAUUUUUAUAUGUAUAACAUAACAGUUUAUUUUAAUCUGAAAUUUUAUUUGUAUUGGUUGGCAGUACUUUAGCUUGGAUGAGACUGAAUUGCUAUAAACUGAGAGGUAAUGAUAGAGGGCUUUGAAACCAACUGGGAAAAUAUAAUAAAGGAAAAUAUUAUAUGCCUUAGUCAAUAAUCUUUAGUUGGAAAAGGAUAGGAAAAUCACACCAACAAAUUUUGUGGAGUUUAAUAAAUUGUUACUGUAAAUACCAGUUGGGGAAACCAAUAAUAACAAUGAACUGAAAAGAGUAAAACUACAAAACGAAAUUCUACUUGAAAAAGACAUAUAACUUAUAGCAUCAGAAUUGUAGACAUUUAGAAAGUAGUAAUGAGGAAAUCAAAGGUAUAACAACUUAGAAAUCACAUAUAUUAAUUUUUUCAGAUAAUAUGUUAAAAAUAAACCAUAGGAGUAGGGAGCUGCCCAGAUGUAUACACAUCGAUAACUAGAUAAAAAAUAACUUUUUAGCUAUCUAAUAAUAGAACAACCAUUAAAUAGAGAACAACAGAUUGUUAGGAAGAGUAGCAUCAUAGAAGAAACAAUAGUGAUCUUUGAUUAAAAAAUAUGAAUUUGGUCUCAGCUCUUAACAAGUGACCUCUCAUAUUUGUAGCUGAAAAUGAAAUGGCAGAUCCAAAUGCCCAGGCAGGUUACUUCUAACUCUAGAGUUACAUGAGCCGAAAGAUUCUUCUGGAUCAUUUCAAUUAAUACAAAUAAUUACUGGAGCUUGGAGAACUGGGUUGACACUAUUUAAUAUCAUGUAAUUCACAUCAUAAACCUAGGGAACAUUAUUAGCAUAAAUAUGCCUUUUAUUUGACCUCUUCUGGCAAUAUGAAGUUUAUUUGUUUGUUUGUUUUUAAUUUCUAAUAGCAAUCUAGUCUGUCAUUAUGUUGGACACAAUAAUGGUAGCAGAUUAAAUUGGGAUAAAUAUACAGUUGGUCCUGAUGUGAAACAUACUUGUAAAAAUAUUUUUUCUUAAAUCAAAUAUCAGAGAAAUAUCAAUACCUUUAGUCAAAAUACCCUCAAUGCUGGGAUAUGACAGUAAAUUAGUAAGAUACAAAAAAUAAAAGCCACUAAUAUAAAAAACUUUAAAUAGUUUUAGAUCAUCAUGACAUUAUCUUGCUUUUAAAACUGAAGCUCAGGAGAGCUCCACUUUCAGGAUGUCUGAAUGGAGCCUUCUACAGAUGAAAACCCAAGGAAAUAAGCAAAACUUGUGCAAACUAUAAAAAAUAAUGCAGAUGUUUAAAGUUUCUGGAAAUUGUCCUAAGGGCAUACAGCAAAGCAGUGAAGAAACAUUUAUUCAAUCAAAUCUACUAAAAUGCAGAAAGGUAAGUGAGAAGCUGUGGUUUUGAGCUGCAAUCCACUUCCUCUUUCUCUGCCAUUGUAGCUCAGCUUGACAGAAGCUUCACCUUAGGCAAGUGGAACCAAGAAGAUGAAGCCUUCCCUCCCCUAAGUUUCCAAUCAAAACUUACUUUCUUACACUGAGAGGUAAAAGUUAGCAACAUUUCUCAUUUCCUCCAACUUCAAGUUGAAGAGGCUAAAUUCCUGGGAUAGGGUGAGAGCUUAGGUUCCACCUUCCUCUGCCCUGUUUCUGUCCACAGGAUGAAGACUCUAGUCCAUGCAGGGGAGGUUAUGACUACCUGGAACAAGAUUUCCCGCAAUCUCCAACUCAGAGAUUCCAAAAUAGAAGCGAGGCAACCUGAGAAGACCAGAGGCUACUGCCAUGUCCACUGCAGAACAGUGGUUCAGAGAGUUUAUCCAGCAGGUGAGACAAUCCAUAGGAAAAGAAAAUUUUGCAACUCUUCCCAAAGGAACUCAUUUUGUUUGAAACAGAGUGUGGGGAAGUUCAAGGCUAAGAGAAUCCCUGCAAACAAUAGCUCCUCUUAACCUGAACAACACUCAAAACCAUAGGUGAGCUAGUUGAACAGAGAACUAGAAAAAGAAACACCUAAGAAUAAUACUUCUGGGAUCAGAAAAUAGCUCAAAGACUUGCUUCAAAAACUAUGCCUACAAAGGAGCCCAAAUUUAAUUGGAUUAGAUCACUGAGCAAUGUGCUCUCAGUCUUGAGGACCUUGUCAGCAAAAAUAAUCAGCUGGUAAUUAGAAAAGCCCAGUGGGUAGGGGCUAACACCAAAUGAAGCAGACAGCUCAUCUGAGAGGUCACAGAAGGAGAGAGUCAAAAAGAGCCCUGAUAAAACUGCUGUUAUUUCAGGGUGACUUUACCUCAUACAAGGCUUUCCCAAGGAGGGAUAAUAUAAAAGGUAGAAAUAGAUUUCACCAAAAGAGCCAAACCAAGUCACCAAAAUAUAAACAAACAAACAAAAACAGGUCUUUGGGGUAAUCCAGAGCUGCUACAACAUAUUACCUAAAAUGUCCAGUUUUCAACUCAAAAUUAUGAGACCAGCAAUGAAACAGAAAAGUAUGACCCACAUAUAAGAAAAUAAGAAAAAAAAUCAGGAAACAGAAACCGCCUAUAAGAGGAGUUGAUGUCAGACUUAACAAAGACUUCAAAACAUAAAUAUGUUUUUAAAAUAAACUAUGCUCGAUGAAGUAAAGGAAGUUAUGAAGACAAUGUCUUAUCAAAUAGUUAAAUCAUUAAAGAGAUAGAAAUUAUAAAGAGAGAACCUAACAAGAAGUCCCCAUUGUGGCUUAGCGGAAACAAAACCAACUAGUAUCCAUGAGGAUGUGGGUUCAAUCCCUGGCCUUGCUCAGUGAGUUAAUGAUCAGCAUUGCCCUGAGCUAUGGUGGAGUUUGCAGAUGAGGCUCAGCUCCUUUGUUGCUGUGGCUGUGGUGUAGGCCAGAAGCCGUAGCUCCAAUUCAGCCCCUAGCCUGGAAACUUCCGCAGGUCACACAUGCAGCUGGUAAAGC